rnacentral:ribozyme from 13 species
AGGAAAAAAAAAAAAAAAAAAAAAAAAAAAAAAAAAAAAAAAAA